rnacentral:rRNA from 1 species
GACGAACGCUGGCGGCGUGCUUAACACAUGCAAGUCGAACGGAAAGGCCUGCUUUCCCUUGUGGAUUGCGGGUACUCGAGUGGCGAACGGGUGAGUAACUCGUGAGUGAUCUGCCCCCAACUUGUGUAUAAGCCCGGGAAACUGGGUCUAAUUCCCGUUAGAACUGCAGGGUUCUUCCUGUGGUUGAAAACGAUUUUCUACUGGUUGUGGAAGAGCUCGCUGCCUAUCAGCUUGUUGGUGGGGUAAUAGCCCGCCAAGGCGGCGACGGGUAGCCGGCCUGAGAGCGUGGACAGCAGAAUUGGGAAAGGGAUACGGCCCAGACGCGUGGGGGGGGGAGGAGUGAGGAAACUUGAGGCAUAAGCGUGAGGCUGAUACGUCGAGGGAGGGAUGGAGAUGACGGGCUUCGGGUUGUAAACUCCUUUGGACCGCGAGGAAGCCACCUGGAUGGAAGGGUGGUGACGGUAGUGAUAGAAGAAGCCCCGGCUAACUACGUG